UGAGCAGGGCCGGCAGACGGAACCCCAGACCACUGGCCUCACUCAGUCUUCUGCUGGCCUGGGGUUCCAUUCACCCAGGCCAGCAAUGGGCUGAGCGGGGCUGGCAGCCAGGACCACGGCUGGCAGCAGCAUACCAGUAAAAAUCGGCUCGCGUGCUGCAGGUUGUCGACCCCUGAUGUAGCAUGUCUCUCUACCCUUGGCUGGUAGGCAAACUCCCAGCUGCAGUGUAGACAUUGCUGUCUUAAAGUUUUGUUAAAAUGCAAUGGUGGUUACUGUUAAACUGUAUAGCCUUCAGCAAAACCUUUGCAGUUCACCCUUAGUAGAAGCUGAAGCUGUUUCCAUUUAAGAAAAUGAAGCCACUCUCUGAAAUAAAAUUUACCUAAAUCUCUUUGCUAAUUGUACAUAUAUUUUGAAUGUUGAUAAUUAUAUGGCUAUGAUUAAGUCUAUGAGACUUAAUAACAGUAGAACACCCAAACUUAAUUACCAUUCUUGCAUUGCUGAAGUAUGUUUAUAUUCAUGUAACAUCACUAAAUUUCUUUUGGUAUACUGGAUGCUUGGUAAAAUGCCACACUGUUAUGACCAUCCUAAGUAAAGAUAAAACACUAAAAUAAUGCUAUUUCAAAAACACAACAACAAAAAACCUCUGGGAAUACUUUAGGAAAGUUGCUUACUUAUUUUGUUGAACCUUGUUUGGUCAUGCUAACAUGAAAAUAUCGUCAACACUGAUUUGUUUGCUAUUGCAUGUUGAGUCUUCAGAAACAGUGUCAGGUUGUGUUUUAAAAUACCUUUUGCUGUGCAGUAAACUAAAUAAGCUAUUUUGAAAAAUAUUGCUCUAAUGAAUAAAGAAAAUGUUUAUUCUCAAAGUCCUUUUCAAAGACUAGGUAAACUAAGAACAUAUUGAUACUUAAUAUGUAUCAUGUUUCACGUAAUUCAAGAGAAAAAUCUACUAAUCAGUUGUAUGCAUGCGGUUUUUUUUGUUUUUUGUUACUUAUUGUGGCACAUUUAAAAACAAGAGAAUACAGGUUUGAGAUUUUACAGAACAAUCAGAUCACAAUCAAGAGGAAACCCAACUUUUUUUUAAAGAGAAGUUGAUUUCAUUUGACUUCAUUGUGAACUAUGACAACUCGUUUUUGCUUUUGGCAUUCCGUCAGAAAUUCUCCUUGUGGCAAAAAGUGAAUGUCUGUUUUAAUUUUAAAAAUAUUGUUGCCAUGGGAGGUAGAAGAUCUACCUGAAAAACUGGUAUCUGCAAAGGAACCCCUCCAAGAUUACCAUGUGAUCAAAAAUAUUGAGCUAGAAAGACAACGAUGCUGAUGAAAUUUCAGAUUACUACUUACACUACUACUGCUGUGGGAACCAAUUCUGUACAUCCACUUCAAGUCUUUAAUUGUUUUUACCUGUGUGUGUUCCUAGACCUUUUUCCAUUUUAAUUAAAAAUGCUUCCUUUUGAUCUUUCUGACUCUGAGCCUCCAUGCAGUAUUACAGUUGUCUGGAUAUAUCUGCAUUAGUUUUGAUACAUUGUAUGCUUAGCACUGAACAUUAAAUUAGGUUUAAACCUU